AGAUUGCAAGAACACAGUGAGGGAGCUGGAAGUCUUGUGGAGUCUUUGAAAACAGCUGUUGUGAAAACACAUUCUGUUGUUUACUCUGUAUAGUAAAGAUUUCUCCAGAGUUCCUGAAUCAGCUAAGCCAUUAGCAACCUCCGAACUCCUAGCCUUCAAAAUUCCAGCCUCGGACCUCACGACUUCUGAACUCCUGGCUUCAGAACUCUCAGCCUUGGAUCUCACGGCCUCCGACUUGCAGGCUCGGAACUCUCAGCCUCAGCACAGACCCGACGAGGCGUCCUCUUGGACUGUUAUGAUGGUCUGCCGGCCCAGCAUGGCUUCGGCAUGAACUUCUGUCUCAAGGUGAUUCCAGAGCAUUCUCCUGGCCUCAUGAACCCUGAGCUGAAGCCAGGCAUGGUCUGGAGUUGAAGCCCAGUGCAAACUGGAGGCUAAGUGCCAGCAUGAACUGGGUAGGAAGACCUGUUCUGAACUUUUUUCUCCAUUUUAUAAUUUAUUCCAAUAAUCUGCAGUGCUGGACUUUGUAUUUUGACCUCAAUUCUUCCAAAGAACUGUAACUGAAAAAGCUGUACUUGGGGACCACUGUAAGUGGUGACUUGUACACUUAAGGGUCACUGGACCCAAAAUGUUAACUCUGAUUUCUCUUCACAGAUGCUGCCAGACUUGCUUAGCUUUUCCGGCACCUUCUGUUUUUGUUUCUGAUUGACAGCGUCUGUAUUUCUUUUGGCUUUAAUUUAGUAUUUCACUGUAUUCAUUUGAGUACAUAGGAUAACAAAGCUAAUUCUGAUUCUGAUAUAAGAGAUCUGAGUGAUUCAUUGGCCCCUUCCUGUUCUUAUAUUCCAAAUAAACCAGAACCCAAACACAACUGAUGAACAGAACGACAUAAGAGCUGGGGACAAGACACGGCAACAGGAAACCAGACCUUGUGCAAAGUUUGUGAGUGGGGGAUGUCUGGGGAGAAUGUACAGAAAAACUGGAAUAGGUCAUUCAGCCCCUUUCAGACUGCUCAGCAUUUCAGUUAGACCCAGACUAAAGGACAAAUAGUCUCCUUUUUUCAGUGAAUCCCUACAGUGUGGAAACAGGUCCAUCGGCCCAACAAGUCCACACCGAACC